rnacentral:rRNA from 1 species
GAUGAACGCUGGCGGCGUGCUUAACACAUGCAAGUCGAACGGUGAAGCAGGAGCUUGCUCUUGUGGAUCAGUGGCGAACGGGUGAGUAACACGUGAGCAACCUGCCCCUGACUCUGGGAUAAGCGCUGGAAACGGCGUCUAAUACUGGAUAUGUGAUGUGACCGCAUGGUCUGCAUCUGGAAAGAAUUUCGGUUGGGGAUGGGCUCGCGGCCUAUCAGCUUGUUGGUGAGGUAAUGGCUCACCAAGGCGUCGACGGGUAGCCGGCCUGAGAGGGUGACCGGCCACACUGGAACUGAGACACGGCCCAGACUCCUACGGGAGGCAGCAGUGGGGAAUAUUGCACAAUGGGCGGAAGCCUGAUGCAGCAACGCCGCGUGAGGGAUGACGGCCUUCGGGUUGUAAACCUCUUUUAGCAGGGAAGAAGCGAAAGUGACGGUACCUGCGGAAAAAGCACCGGCUAACUACGUGCCAGCCGCCGCAGUAA